AAAUCUGGUGGUCUAUGGCUGCCCGAGUUGUAAUCUAGAGAAGUAAUGCCCGUGCUGGACCGUGUAUAAGUCUCCUGGGAUGGGGCGUCAUAGAGGGUGAGAAUCCCGUCUUUGACACGGACUACCAGUGCUGUGUGGUAUGCUCUCAAAGAGUCGAGUUGUUUGGGAAUGCAGCUCAAAAUGGGUGGUAAAUUCCAUCUAAAGCUAAAUAUUGGCGAGAGACCGAUAGCGAACAAGUACCGUGAGGGAAAGAUGAAAAGAACUUUGGAAAGAGAGUUAAACAGUACGUGAAAUUGCUGAAAGGGAAACGCUUGAAGUCAGUCGCGUUGGCCAGGGAUCAGCCUUGCUUUUGCAUGGUGUACUUUCUGGUUGACGGGUCAGCAUCAAUUUUGACCACUGGAAAAGGUCCUGGGGAAUGUGACAGCUUAGGCUGUGUUAUAGCCCCUGGUCGCAUACAGUGGUUGGGAUUGAGGAACUCAGCACGCCGCAAGGCCGGGUUUCGACCACGUUCGUGCUUAGGAUGCUGGCAUAAUGGCUUUAAGCGACCCGUCUUGAAACACGGACCAAGGAGUCUAACAUGCCUGCGAGUAUUUGGGUGGCAAACCCGAGUGCGUAAUGAAAGUGAAAGUUGAGAUCCCUGUCAUGGGGAGCAUCGACGCCCGGACCAGAACUUUUGGGACGGAUCCGCGGUGGAGCAUGUAUGUUGGGACCCGAAAGAUGGUGAACUAUGCCUGAAUAGGGUGAAGCCAGAGGAAACUCUGGUGGAGGCUCGUAGCGAUUCUGACGU
rnacentral:rRNA from 1 species